rnacentral:sRNA from 1 species
AAAUGUAUCGUCAUAUAAAUUACAAGAAUCAUAUAUAUAAAAGUUGGUCAACUCUCUUCAUAUGAUUGACACAUCAUCACUUUAACAUUUGUCAUGUGUCUAUUAAAUAAUUAAUGUAAGUUUUUCAACUUCUAAUAUAUAGGU